rnacentral:SRP_RNA from 1 species
UCGUGCUAGACGGGGAGGUAGCGGUGCCCUAUACCUGCAACCCGCUAUAGCAGGGUCGAAUUCCUACCCCCGGCUCUAGUGACUCAGGGUCUGACCCAAGCAAGUGGUGUUGACGGCUAGGUCUCGUGCGGCGUGAGCUUGUGAAUCCCGUCAGAUCCGGAAGGAAGCAGCGGUAAGCAUGUACUUGCGGGUGCCACGGGGUAGCCUGGCUUGAGCAAACUACUUGGGUAACGCUUGAGAGAAGGAGUCAAAGGUAGGUGCACGG